GACGAACGCUGGCGGCGUGGAUUAGGCAUGCAAGUCGAACGGUAUCAUCCUUUCGGGGGUGAGAGAGUGGCGAACUGGUGAGUAACACGUAGGUUAUCUACCCUCAAGACGGGGACAACCCAGGGAAACUUGGGCUAAUACCGGAUGUGAGCAACUUUUAGUUGUUUGAAAGGUGGCGUAAGCUGUCGCUUGGGGAUGAGCCUGCGUCCUAUUAGUUAGUUGGUGAGGUAACGGCUCACCUAGGCAAUGAUAGGUAGGCGGCCUUAACGGGUGGUCGCCCACACUGGGAUUGAGAUACGGCCCAGACUCCUACGGGAGGCAGCAGUCGAGAAUAGUCUACAAUGGUCGGAAGACUGAUAGUGCGACGCCGCGUGAACGAUGAAUCCCUUCGGGGUGUAAAGUUCUUUUAUAUGUGAGCAGUGCUUCUUAUAUUAACAGUAUGGGGAAGAGAUAUUAGCAUAUGAAUAAGCAACGGCUAACUCCGUGCCAGCAGCCGGGUAAAA
rnacentral:rRNA from 1 species